UGCCAGACUCCUACGGGAGGCAGCAGUCGAGGAUCAUUCACAAUGGGGGAAACCCUGAUGGUGCGACGCCGCGUGGGGGAAUGAAGGUCUUCGGAUUGUAAACCCCUGUCAUGUGGGAGCAAAUUAAAAAGAUAGUACCACAAGAGGAAGAGACGGCUAACUCUGUGCCAGCAGCCGCGGUAAUACAGAGGUCUCAAGCGUUGUUCGGAAUCACUGGGCGUAAAGCGUGCGUAGGCUGUUUCGUAAGUCGUGUGUGAAAGGCGCGGGCUCAACCCGCGGACGGCACAUGAUACUGCGAGACUAGAGUAAUGGAGGGGGAACCGGAAUUCUCGGUGUAGCAGUGAAAUGCGUAGAUAUCGAGAGGAACACUCGUGGCGAAGGCGACUUUCUGGACGAUAACUGACGUUGAGGCACGAAAGUGUGGGGAGCAAACAGGAUUAGAUACCCGAGUA
rnacentral:rRNA from 1 species